rnacentral:lncRNA from 1 species
CAGAAAACAAGCACCCUCAGUAAACAUGACCUAAUGAGGGUGGUGGCCUUCAACUGCCUGGGAGGUACCAGAAGAACCCUACAAAGAGCCAGGGCUCUCACACAGACAGGCAACACCUGCCAAAGAAGUCUCUGAAUUAGAUGAAUUCGGAACUCUGUAAGGGGGACAGUUUGUCGUGCCCAGUAGCUUCCCACUGGACUCUGGAGCCUGGCCUGCAAGAGCCAAAUUAUGAUCCUGAUCAACUUAAUCUGAUUGAACUACAGAAAAAUGAGUUGUUACUUAACAAGUUGUUGGAUAGUUGGGAGUCACAAUUAUUGGAGAUCACUGUCCAUAAGACUAGAUUGCUUCCAUCUCCAGAAUGCAUCUGACCCUGAACUCUUAGUCAAACUUGAGAAUUCUAAUAGAAGAGCACUAAAUUGUUCUGCAUCACAGAAGGAAAAGAAUGUGAGCCUUCCAGAGCACUUCAAGACACAAGUAUGCAAAGAAGCAGCUGUGGGAGAGAAGAGGUGAUCCAGGAGACAGGCAGCCUAAAGAAGACAAGGAUAGAUUUAUAAAAGCUGUUAAAACAAUCUUUUAAGAAGCUUAGAGACUAACAUGAAACUGAGUAGUAUAUUGUUAAUUUUGACACUUCUAGGAAAUUAUCAUAAUCCUCUGUUCUAGCUGUUGAGGAAAGGCCAAAUGAGUUUUGAAGAGCAAAAUGACAUUUUCAUCCACCAAGACUUCAAAGCAAUGACUACCAAAAAAAAUUCCUAGAAGUCAUAUAACUUUUCUACUAAUGAAAAAAUUUUUUUGUUAUAUCUUAUUCACUU